CCGUUGAUGUAUGCACCCAUAUGUAAUAUAUGUACAGACUACCUGUAUCGUACAGGAGGAGGAGGAGGAGGAGAUUCAGGCAGCAUGUCGCCGCCAUGCCCUCCUCCACGGCCCCACACCGCGUUGAGAUCCGACCGCCUCCUUCAGACGGUCUGGGUGGGUGGGCAUUUCGGGUUUUGUGUUUGACGUCCAAAGGUGAUGAGGGGGAGCGAAGGGGUUUGGGGUGGAGUGGGAGUGCGCUAAGACUGUGGUUGUUGGAGCCGAGGUCUGCGGGGCAGACACCUACCCAGGUCCCACAAGAAGGCAGACGAGAAGAGAAGACGCGCAAUGUGUGUGGUUGUGGCCAUUCGCUGUGUAUGUGUGUGUGUGUUUUAGCACGCCGCGGCGCACUGGCACACCGCGUAUUGUUAAUCACCAGGAAAUAUAUUUUUUGCGUGUUGUUGUUUUUGUUGUUGUUACUUCGUGUGGAGAUUUUCCAGCGGCGAAGGAAGGAGAAGAGAACAGCAUGUCAGCAUCAAGGGGAGGAAAUGUCUUUUUGCCUUCGUGUUGAAAAAGCUUUUGAAGUUGUUGAAGUCUUG
rnacentral:lncRNA from 1 species